rnacentral:lncRNA from 1 species
AGAAACUGGAACUGAGAGCUCUUUCGGUAGCGCAGGGUUAGGGAUCAGUCGAGCCCCGGAAGUGAGUUGGCGGCCGUUUCGUUUCAUCUCAGUGAUGUCCUUUGGCGUUUGCGCCCCGUAACUCUGGUCUUCUGGACCUGCUCAGCUUGAAGUGCUCAGGGGCUUAAGUGAGAUGGCUCAUGUAAGAUGCAGAAGGCCACGCAGAAGGGGACAGUACUUUAAUCACUGCAAGCGCAGUGGGGAAAGAGGUAGGCGAUGCGCUUCUAGGCCACGCCCUGGCGGGCCGGAGGAGCUUCCUGGGCGGAGCAGAGUCUAACCUUAGGGCGCACCCGAAAAGGUCCAAGAUUUAAAAACUAUUUUUGAAAUAUCAGCUGUGGGCAUUUUUUUCCCCAUAACGUGGGCUCCACUACAAGUAUCCGUAUGCUUACUGCUCCGAGAAGGCAAAAGAUCUAGAAUUAUCAUUUAAUAACUGAAACUAUUAUUUCCUGUUUCUUUCAACACAAGACAAAACCAAAAAACUUGUUUACCAAGGUAAAAAUAUUCCCAAUCA